CACGCCGUAAACGUUGAAUACUAAGUGUUGGAGCAAUUCAGUGCUGUAGUUAACGCAAUAAGUAUUCCGCCUGGGGAGUACGUGCGCAAGCAUAAAACUCAAAGGAAUUGACGGGACCCCGCACAAGCGGUGGAUCAUGUGGUUUAAUUCGAAGCAACGCGAAGAACCUUACCAAGUCUUGACAUGCCGACAAAGACCCUAGAGAUAGGGAGAUAGCUAUGGCGGACACAGGUGG
rnacentral:rRNA from 1 species